rnacentral:rRNA from 1 species
GAGACUAGUGUUAUUCAUCUUUAUUAGGUUUAAAGGGUACCUAGACGGUAUAUCAAGCCCCAAAAGGGAACGGAUAUACUAGAGUUUUAUGUGAGAGGCAAAUAUAGUACUAUUGGUGUAGAGAUAAAAUUCAUUGAUACCUCUAGGCACGGGUAACGGCGAAGGCAAUCCUCUAUGUAAAAACUGACGUUGAGGGACGAAGGCUCGGGUAGCGAAUAGGAUUAGAUACCCUAGUAGUCCGGGCAGACAAUUAUGAAUGUCAUAGAUUAGAAAACAAAGAAGCUAGUAGGUUUGCUAUGAACAGACUGUAUAAUUUAAGAGUCUUGUUAUUAAAUUAUACAGUCUCUACUGUAACUAGUUUAGAUAUUAACUCUUAAACUUCCUUAAACGAGAGUCUCCUCAUUUUCCUUCUGACUUCUCAUUAAAGGGGAGAGGCCUCCCGAGAAGCAAAGCAGAUGGGUGUAGAAUGGGAGUUUAAGGAAGGUUUAUUUGCCUCUUGGAUUAUUCAUUCUUUAAAUAAACCUUCGAAGGUUAGUUAUCUUCUCUAGUUAACCGUACACAAGGAGCUAGAAGUGUAGUAUAUAUCAACUUGUGUAUUAAAAAGGAUACGGGUAAAGGUUUGCUUCUUCACCUUCCUAUUUUUGGUCUAUAAAUGAAAGUGUAAGCAUUCCACCUCAAGAGUAAGGCGGCAACGUUGGAACUGAAAUCAUUAGACCGUUUCUGAAACCAGUAGUGAAGUAUGUUAUUUAAUUCGAUGAUCCUCGAAAAACCUUACC